rnacentral:rRNA from 1 species
ACACGUACCGUACGAACGUUAUUCGGAAUCACUGGGCUUAAAGAGUUCGUAGGCGGCUAUGUAGGUGAGGUGUGAAAUCCCACGGCUCAACCGUGGAAUUGCGCUUCAAACCACAUGGCUUGAGGGAGAUAGAGGAAAGCGGAACUGAUGGUGGAGCGGUGAAAUGCGUUGAUAUCAUCAGGAACACCGGUGGCGAAGGCGGCUUUCUGGGUCUCUUCUGACGCUGAGGAGCGAAAGCUAGGGUAGCGAACGGGAUUAGAUACCCCAGUAGUCC